GUAGGCGGAAAGUUUAGGUAAAUCCGGACUUUCAUUAACGCUGAGAUACGAUGUCGAGCUACUACGGUAGUGAAGUCAUUGAUGCCAUGCUUCCAGGAAAAGCCUCUAAGCUUCAGAUUGUAAGGAAUCGUACCCCAAACCGACACAGGUGGUCGGGUAGAGAAUACCAAGGCGCUUGAGAGAACUCGGGUGAAGGAACUAGGCAAAAUGGUACCGUAACUUCGGGAGAAGGUACGCUCUUAUCAGUGAAGUCCCUUGCGGAUGGAGCAGACGAGAGUCGCAGAUACCAGGUGGCUGCAACUGUUUAUUAAAAACACAGCACUGUGCAAAAUCGUAAGAUGACGUAUACGGUGUGACGCCUGCCCGGUGCCGGAAGGUUAAUUGAUGGGGUUAGACUUCGGUCGAAGCUCUUGAUCGAAGCCCCGGUAAACGGCGGCCGUAACUAUAACGGUCCUAAGGUAGCGAAAUUCCUUGUCGGGUAAGUUCCGACCUGCACGAAUGGCGUAAUGAUGGCCACGCUGUCUCCACCCGAGACUCAGUGAAAUUGAAAUCGCUGUGAAGAUGCAGUGUACCCGCGGCUAGACGGAAAGACCCCGUGAACCUUUACUACAGCUUGGCACUGAACAUUGAACCUACAUGUGUAGGAUAGGUGGGAGACUAUGAAAUUGCGUCGCUAGAUGUGAUGGAGUCGUCCUUGAAAUACCACCCUUGUAGUUUUGAUGUUCUAACGUUGGUCCCUGAAUCGGGAUUACGGACAGUGCCUGGUGGGUAGUUUGACUGGGGCGGUCUCCUCCCAAAGAGUAACGGAGGAGCACGAAGGUGGGCUAAACACGGUUGGACAUCGUGUGGUUAGUGCAAUGGCAUAAGCCCGCUUGACUGCGAGAAUGACAAUUCGAGCAGGUGCGAAAGCAGGUCAUAGUGAUCCGGUGGUUCUGAAUGGAAGGGCCAUCGCUCAACGGAUAAAAGGUACUCCGGGGAUAACAGGCUGAUACCGCCCAAGAGUUCAUAUCGACGGCGGUGUUUGGCACCUCGAUGUCGGCUCAUCACAUCCUGGGGCUGAAGUCGGUCCCAAGGGUAUGGCUGUUCGCCAUUUAAAGUGGUACGCGAGCUGGGUUUAGAACGUCGUGAGACAGUUCGGUCCCUAUCUGCCGUGGGCGUUGGAAAAUUGAAAGGGGCUGCUCCUAGUACGAGAGGACCGGAGUGGACGAACCUCUGGUGUUCGGGUUGUCAUGCCAAUGGCAUUGCCCGGUAGCUAAGUUCGGAAUCGAUAACCGCUGAAAGCAUCUAAGCGGGAAGCGAGCCUUGAGAUGAGUUUUCCCUGGCACUAUAAGUGUCCUAAAGGGUUGUCGUAGACUACGACGUUGAUAGGCAGGGUGUGUAAGUGCUGCGAGGCAUUGAGCUAACCUGUACUAAUUGCCCGUGAGGCUUAACCAU
rnacentral:rRNA from 1 species